rnacentral:lncRNA from 1 species
GGGAGGUUUGCUGCACCUUUCCUUUCAAGCGGAAGGUUUUCUUCUGGGCAAAGAAAACCUGUUGUGCCGGGCGGCUGGGCCGUGCAGUUGACCACACUUGCUUCAUUCACCCCAAAGAGUUUCUCGAAGUGAUCCUCCGUCUGUUUAGUAGCGGUGAGCAAGCCUGGCUGUGCAGAGACGUUGCUGCAAUAGGAAGCCUUUAUUGGCAGGAACUCUGGAGUUUUAUUCAUUUACUUCGUUUGCACACCCCCCCCCCCCAACAAAGUGCAAGAAGGGCAACUAAGUUUUUAGGGCCUUUUGAUGCAAAUCCCUCACCCAAACUAAGCUUUUAGGAGGCCCUGCAACUGCUCACUCAACCCCGAGUCCGGCUGCUGUCUGAGAAACCCACCCCUGCUGACUGCUGCCUAAAUAUAUGUUCUUCAUGGUGUGGCAGGAGAGAGGACAGGCUUUGAUGACACUGUCCCGGGAAGGGCUGAGGAUGAAGACGGAGCAGCCUCGCAGCAAGCGCUGCGCUGUGGAGCCCUUCGUCCUUCAAACCUCGUAGGAGCCGGCCCCAGCAGCUCUUUCUGCUGCGAUGGCUAUGGAGUAGCGCAAGCACAAACGGCACAAGUCAUCUGGAGCUGCGGGAUGGAUCAGCAUUGAGUGGCUUGCACUGUGUUAAGGAAUAAAUACUAAGAAGGCACAGCUCCUGGCAGUAAGUGAUUCUGGACAUGAAGUGACCAGCACCAUAAGAACAAGACAGGAGUUGAAGGAAGAGAUAGGCAGGUCCCAAGGGGAUGAAGAAGCAUCAUGUUCAGCCUUCCCGUGCCUCUUGGGUUUUGCUUCACCAAUAGCUAUGCUGUCUCUUCACUGCAGACGGACAUCAUCUGUUCAGUGUAUUCUUGCUCAUAUUCAUAGACACUUCUGUGAAAUAUUCAUCAGGGGUGUGACAAAACCUGAAGACAACACUCAAGUUCUGCACAAGGAAAUCACAAACAGACAAAAUAAAAAAUAACUAAAAGAAAUCUUGACCUGGUUCUGUAGUGUUUCAUUUAGGGAGGUCAAACUUCUUUGCCUAUAUGUGGUAUGUCUGUGUUCAAAGCAAGGCAGGCUUUUAAAUCAGACUAGUUCACCAAUAAUGC